rnacentral:lncRNA from 1 species
GCCUGGACCCAAUUCUGCUCUUUUAUAAAAUUAUCUUGGCCAUUCUGGCCCAUUUGUUCUUCCAAAUGAAUUCUAGAAUCAAGUUGAAUGUUAUGUGAAGACACUCAACUGGAGUUUUAUUGAAAUCAUAUUGAAUCCAUGGAUUUUAUUUGGGAGAAGUGAUAACAAGUAUGCCAUCAAUGAAGAAGACAAGGAUUACUCUCUGAUUUCUGCUGGAGCAUCUUCUGGAGUUCCAAAUGGGAUGAUCUGGGACAAAGAUCACAGCAAUAUUCAAUCCAUUCUGCUAGCAGUCCUGGGAUUUGUGCUCUGUGGUACGCGUUGCUGAUGAAAACAAUGUCAAAAGGAACCCACAGCAGGCUUUCUGUCCUUGGCUCCAGGCAAUAGUUCCCCCUUGUAAAUGAAUUCCUGUGGCUACCACGUCAAUCUCCUAGGUAUUGCUUUGGCACACUCAAAGAAUAUAAUCUUACAGAAUUCUUUCAAGAACCACCUUAGUUGUGUACAUAAGGGCCAAGUGUCUAGUAACUUGCUCAGGACCCAUGGAGUUAGCAAGUGACAUAAUCAAGAUUUGAAUCCAGGACUCCUGCACUGUUAUCCUGCCCAGCCACUAAUUAUAAGGUUUGAUAUUACUACCUUUUCUCUUACUCUGAACAACCUGGGACUUUGAAGACAAUGUCAUUUUAGGAAAGUUUCUAAAAAAAAAAUAAAAAAGGAAAGUUUCUAAAC